UAUUUGUCAGGAUAAGCAAAAUUUGUACCUACUAGGGAUCGCUUCUAGUUUAAAAAAUUAAAAGCAAUAGAAUGCAAGUUUUCUAACUUGAAAUAACCAAAAGUAGGAAUUCAUUAUUUGCCAAAAAAGUCAAUCGCAUCGAAAACUGAACAAUCGACGACCAAUUGAUCAAGUUGUCUUUGCAUGUUGUAUUAUGGAGGAAUUUAACUGACUAAAAAGGUCUUUCAAAUUACUGACACUGAAUAAAUGAAACAGUUUAGUGAUUAAUCCACUUUUGUAACAAAAAAAAAAAUUCUUGGACAAGUCAAACUAGCAAAAAUGAUCAAAACUCGAGCUGUGGGAUCGUUUAGUGGGAACGCGAGGAUCGAAGUUGUGUGACCUGUUUUAGUUUUUUUUUAUAUAAUAUAUUUUUUAUAUUUCGUUUCAAAUCGAUUUUUCAUAUUAGAAAAAGGAUAAAAUAUAAGAUUUGGCUUAAAGGUUUCGUUACUAGGUUAAAAUAAAGCUGUCAUUUUCAAGCUGUCAAGCUGUCAACAAAAAUUCGAAAAGACAACUAACCUCAAAUAAAAAAUUCGUAAAAACAAACAGUUUAAUACGGAUUUUUACUAGUGACAAUU